UGAAAGCUGUCUGUAAAAGAGGCAAACGUUUCAUAAAAGGAUUAACUAAGUUGGAGAAGAGUUAUAGUGUCUGUAAAGGAGGCAUCCUUUGUAGUGCCACCUGGCAAGUGUUGUUAAACGA